GACGAACGCUGGCGGCGUUCUUAACACAUGCAAGUCGACAUGAGUGGCGAACGGGUGAGUAAUACGUGGGUAACCUGCGCUCCUUUUUGGGAUAAGCCUUGGAAACGGGGUCUAAUACCGAAUAAAGGGGGAUGGUCUCUCGGCCUAUCAGCUUGUUGGUGGGGUGAUGGCCUACCAAGGCGGUGACGGGUAGCCGUCCUGAGCGGUUGACUAGCCACCUUGGGACUGAGGUACGUCCUAGAGUCCUACGGGAGGCGGCAGUGGGGGAUAUUGGACAAUGGGCGAAAGCAUGAGGAAGCGACGCUGCGUGGGGGAUGAAGGCUUGCGGGUUGUAAACCUCUUGCGCUAUCGAACAGAGAGGUGGAGAAGAAGCGCCUGCUAACUACGUGUCAGCAGCCGCGGUAAUAC
rnacentral:rRNA from 1 species